rnacentral:rRNA from 1 species
UUGCCUGCACCUGCCGGCGACCGGCGCACGGGUGAGUAACACGUAUGGAACCUGCCCGCCACAGGGGGAUAACCCGGGGAAACCCGGCCUAAUACCCCAUGCCGCCCGGACCGGGCAUCUGGUCCGGGCGAAAGGAGGAAUCCGGUGGCGGCUGGGCAUGCGGCGCAUUAGGCAGUAGGCGGGGUAACGGCCCACCUAACCGACGAUGCGUAGGGGUUCUGAGAGGAAGGUCCCCCACACUGGUACUGAGACACGGACCAGACUCCUACGGAAGGCAGCAG